GGGAGUGACUUGGCUUCGACAGGAGCAGGCGGGCUUUGGUUGCAUGCCGCCCUGAAUAUGGCGCAAAACUUUUUACAAACAAUAAACGUAAACAAUACAAAUUACGCUCCUGCUUACGCUAAAAUCGCGUAAGUAAUGAAGGAGGCUUCGUCCUGUGGAUGCUAUCUAAGCAGAUCUGACGAGGCUUACCCAAUUAGAUAGCUUUGAAGUGCAGAGUGACUGAAUGUACUUUGAGAUUUAAGUCUUAGUCUAGGUAAAGUUUCGGGAACUGUACGAUACUUAGAUGAAGUUUAACAGGUCCGCUAAGCAUGUAGACGCCAUCGUUGGCUUGUUUUUGGACAGGGGUUCAAUUCCCCUCACUUCCACCA
rnacentral:tmRNA from 1 species